YGGUGCGUAUCUUGAAUGUCAAAACGACUCUCGGCAACGGAUAUCUCGGCUCUCGCAUCGAUGAAGAACGUAGCGAAAUGCGAUACUUGGUGUGAAUUGCAGAAUCCCGUGAACCAUCGAGUCUUUGAACGCAAGUUGCGCCCGAAGCCUUCGGGCCGAGGGCACGCCUGCCUGGGCGU
rnacentral:rRNA from 1 species